UACGUAGGGGGCAAGCGUUGUCCGGAAUCAUUGGGCGUCACGCGCGUGUAGGCGGCUCGAUAAGUCUGCUGUGAAAGUCCAGGGCUCAACCCUGGAAUGCCGGUGGAAACUGUCGAGCUAGAGUCCGGAAGAGGCGAGUGGAAUUCCUGGUGUAGCGGUGAAAUGCGCAGAUAUCAGGAGGAACACCAAUGGCGAAGGCAGCUCGCUGGGACGGUACUGACGCUGAGACGCGAAAGCGUGGGGAGCAAACAGG
rnacentral:rRNA from 1 species